rnacentral:rRNA from 1 species
UUAAGCGACUAAGCGUACACGGUGGAUGCCCUGGCAGUCAGAGGCGAUGAAGGACGUGCUAAUCUGCGAUAAGCGUCGGUAAGGUGAUAUGAACCGUUAUAACCGGCGAUUUCCGAAUGGGGAAACCCAGUGUGUUUCGACACACUAUCAUUAACUGAAUCCAUAGGUUAAUGAGGCGAACCGGGAGAACUGAAACAUCUAAGUACCCCGAGGAAAAGAAAUCAACCGAGAUUCCCCCAGUAGCGGCGAGCGAACGGGGAGCAGCCCAGAGCCUGAAUCAGUGUGUGUGUUAGUGGAAGCGUCUGGAAAGGCGCGCGAUACAGGGUGACAGCCCCGUACACAAAAAUGCACAUGCUGUGAGCUCGAUGAGUAGGGCGGGACACGUGGUAUCCUGUCUGAAUAUGGGGGGACCAUCCUCCAAGGCUAAAUACUCCUGACUGACCGAUAGUGAACCAGUACCGUGAGGGAAAGGCGAAAAGAACCCCGGCGAGGGGAGUGAAAAAGAACCUGAAACCGUGUACGUACAAGCAGUGGGAGCACGCUUAGGCGUGUGACUGCGUACCUUUUGUAUAAUGGGUCAGCGACUUAUAUUCUGUAGCAAGGUUAACCGAAUAGGGGAGCCGAAGGGAAACCGAGUCUUAACUGGGCGUUAAGUUGCAGGGUAUAGACCCGAAACCCGGUGAUCUAGCCAUGGGCAGGUUGAAGGUUGGGUAACACUAACUGGAGGACCGAACCGACUAAUGUUGAAAAAUUAGCGGAUGACUUGUGGCUGGGGGUGAAAGGCCAAUCAAACCGGGAGAUAGCUGGUUCUCCCCGAAAGCUAUUUAGGUAGCGCCUCGUGAAUUCAUCUCCGGGGGUAGAGCACUGUUUCGGCAAGGGGGUCAUCCCGACUUACCAACCCGAUGCAAACUGCGAAUACCGGAGAAUGUUAUCACGGGAGACACACGGCGGGUGCUAACGUCCGUCGUGAAGAGGGAAACAACCCAGACCGCCAGCUAAGGUCCCAAAGUCAUGGUUAAGUGGGAAACGAUGUGGGAAGGCCCAGACAGCCAGGAUGUUGGCUUAGAAGCAGCCAUCAUUUAAAGAAAGCGUAAUAGCUCACUGGUCGAGUCGGCCUGCGCGGAAGAUGUAACGGGGCUAAACCAUGCACCGAAGCUGCGGCAGCGACGCUUAUGCGUUGUUGGGUAGGGGAGCGUUCUGUAAGCCUGUGAAGGUGUGCUGUGAGGCAUGCUGGAGGUAUCAGAAGUGCGAAUGCUGACAUAAGUAACGAUAAAGCGGGUGAAAAGCCCGCUCGCCGGAAGACCAAGGGUUCCUGUCCAACGUUAAUCGGGGCAGGGUGAGUCGACCCCUAAGGCGAGGCCGAAAGGCGUAGUCGAUGGGAAACAGGUUAAUAUUCCUGUACUUGGUGUUACUGCGAAGGGGGGACGGAGAAGGCUAUGUUGGCCGGGCGACGGUUGUCCCGGUUUAAGCGUGUAGGCUGGUUUUCCAGGCAAAUCCGGAAAAUCAAGGCUGAGGCGUGAUGACGAGGCACUACGGUGCUGAAGCAACAAAUGCCCUGCUUCCAGGAAAAGCCUCUAAGCAUCAGGUAACAUCAAAUCGUACCCCAAACCGACACAGGUGGUCAGGUAGAGAAUACCAAGGCGCUUGAGAGAACUCGGGUGAAGGAACUAGGCAAAAUGGUGCCGUAACUUCGGGAGAAGGCACGCUGAUAUGUAGGUGAAGUCCCUCGCGGAUGGAGCUGAAAUCAGUCGAAGAUACCAGCUGGCUGCAACUGUUUAUUAAAAACACAGCACUGUGCAAACACGAAAGUGGACGUAUACGGUGUGACGCCUGCCCGGUGCCGGAAGGUUAAUUGAUGGGGUUAGCGGUAACGCGAAGCUCUUGAUCGAAGCCCCGGUAAACGGCGGCCGUAACUAUAACGGUCCUAAGGUAGCGAAAUUCCUUGUCGGGUAAGUUCCGACCUGCACGAAUGGCGUAAUGAUGGCCAGGCUGUCUCCACCCGAGACUCAGUGAAAUUGAACUCGCUGUGAAGAUGCAGUGUACCCGCGGCAAGACGGAAAGACCCCGUGAACCUUUACUAUAGCUUGACACUGAACAUUGAGCCUUGAUGUGUAGGAUAGGUGGGAGGCUUUGAAGUGUGGACGCCAGUCUGCAUGGAGCCGACCUUGAAAUACCACCCUUUAAUGUUUGAUGUUCUAACGUUGACCCGUAAUCCGGGUUGCGGACAGUGUCUGGUGGGUAGUUUGACUGGGGCGGUCUCCUCCUAAAGAGUAACGGAGGAGCACGAAGGUUGGCUAAUCCUGGUCGGACAUCAGGAGGUUAGUGCAAUGGCAUAAGCCAGCUUGACUGCGAGCGUGACGGCGCGAGCAGGUGCGAAAGCAGGUCAUAGUGAUCCGGUGGUUCUGAAUGGAAGGGCCAUCGCUCAACGGAUAAAAGGUACUCCGGGGAUAACAGGCUGAUACCGCCCAAGAGUUCAUAUCGACGGCGGUGUUUGGCACCUCGAUGUCGGCUCAUCACAUCCUGGGGCUGAAGUAGGUCCCAAGGGUAUGGCUGUUCGCCAUUUAAAGUGGUACGCGAGCUGGGUUUAGAACGUCGUGAGACAGUUCGGUCCCUAUCUGCCGUGGGCGCUGGAGAACUGAGGGGGGCUGCUCCUAGUACGAGAGGACCGGAGUGGACGCAUCACUGGUGUUCGGGUUGUCAUGCCAAUGGCACUGCCCGGUAGCUAAAUGCGGAAGAGAUAAGUGCUGAAAGCAUCUAAGCACGAAACUUGCCCCGAGAUGAGUUCUCCCUGACCCUUUAAGGGUCCUGAAGGAACGUUGAAGACGACGACGUUGAUAGGCCGGGUGUGUAAGCGCAGCGAUGCGUUGAGCUAACCGGUACUAAUGAACCGUGAGGCUUAACCUU